CCGCAGCUCCCCGCUAGAGGUGUGCGAUACCGGGAAUUUUUAAUCGAUCCAAUCCAAAGUAAACACAGGCUCCGCCCCACUCUCAUCAACUCAUCAGAUCCUACAGAGCCCGUCUGGUGACAUGGAGAGAAAAAAAGUUUACAAGAUGUGAAAAAGAAGAAUGUAAUCAUCGCAUCUCUGGAUCGACUGGCAUCCACUGAACGUCAAGCCCGGAGGCUAAACUGAAGGCAGUAUUUAUCUUAUCUAUCUUGUUCUCACGCAUUAGUAAC